AAACAUUGUUUAUAUAAUUAUUAUAAAUAUAACCUGCUCAAUGAAAAAAUUUAAAUAGCUGCAAAUUUUGUACUAAGGUAGCAUAAUCAUUUGUUUUUUAAUUUUAAACUGGAAUGAAAGGUAAAACAAAUCAUUUCUUUAUUUUAUAUUUUAUUUUAACUUAUAUUAAAUAUAAAAAUAUAUUUUUUAAAAAAAAAGACGACAAGACCCUAUUGAACUUUACUUUAGUUUAGCUGGGGAAGCUAAAUAAUAAAUAUUUUAUUAUAAAUUUUAUAAAUGACCCAAAACAUUUGAUUAAUUAAUCAAGUUACCAUAGGGAUAACAGCGCAAUAAAUUUUUAAAGUUCUUAUAUAAAAAUUUGCUUACGACCUCGAUGUUGAAUUAGAAGUCUUUAUUAAGCAAAAAUAAUAAAAGUAGGUCUGUUCGACCUUUAAAAUUCUACAUGAUCUGA
rnacentral:rRNA from 6 species